CGAAUCUCAACCGUCGAGGUUCCCUCAAUCAACGGCCCAAAACUGAGCCUUCUGUAGUAUAAAACUGUCAUAAGGGCUUCCCUUCCCCCUCUUAGACCCCCCUUCCCACCACUUCAUCUCUAUAGCAAACCCUAACGACCCAAGCCGCCCCCAUUACCUCUGUUGAAAUCCACCGGCGGCAACGACGCCGGCUACGCCGAUGACCUCCACAAUUACAACAUAACUCCUUUUUCCCCUCCUCAUGCCAGUUCCACACCUCCCGUCCUUCGAAUCAAUCCCAAACCUCUCGAAUUUACAUUUUAAGGUAUGAACCCCAGCGCCGCCACAAGACCCCGGUGGCGGCGCCACAACCAAUAAACCCUAAAUUAACACCUCGACUUCCUCUCAUCCCCUUGUUCCAUAUCUAGCAUUGGUUUUCUUUGAAUCACAACCAAAGUGCUCAAAUGUUAAAUCAAAAUCUCGGUCAAAACCAUUCCGUCUCCAAACUUUGCCAAAUUUACACCAGGUGUUUACCUCCCUCCCUACGUCAUGAAUCCAUGCCCAUUUCACUUCAAAUGUCCCCCGUUUGUUUCGAAUCUUCAAUCGAAGUCUGACCAAACACCCUAAAUGAUUCUAAUUUGGGGAUAAAGGGAGUUUGGACCAAAAUAGUCCUUAACUAAGGAUUUCCUCAUGGAAAUACUUUAUUAGGGACGAUUAUGGUUCAAAUUUGAUAGGACAGGUUCUUAGGCUGAUCGAGGUAUUAUUUAUCUUCCUAUAUUUUCUUAGUUAAAUUUAAGAAUGUUGUUCUCUAAGUUUUAUCUUUUUGGUUAGGGUAUUUUCCAUAAAUUUGUUUUAGAAUUAGUUUAAUUCCGGAUUUUGUUUUCUUUGUUCUGUUAUCAUGAAUCUGUCAAUUUCCUGUUAAUUGCUUCAGGUUGGUUCUUCUUUUGGUUUCCUUUUAAGUAUGAUUGGUAAUUUAUGGUGUUAUUCUAAUUUGGUUUUAAUUUCAUUUUGAUGUGUGUUUCGUCUCAUUAGUUUCAGUUCAUGAUUAUCAAUAAUUGAUUAUUUUGUUGUUUGGAUAUUGCUGAAUCGGGCUAGUUUAGUUGUAGUUAGGUUUUUGUUUAACUAAUGUUAAGGGGGUGGGUUCAAUUAACUGAAGUAGUUAGCUCUAGGCUGAAUUCAGGGGUAGUCUGGUACUUUAAAAUGCAUAAAAAUAUUGUAGUUACAACUAGGGUCUUCUUGCACCUUCCAAAGAAGGGCCUUAGUAUAAGGGUCAACAAUUUUAGUGUAUUAACUUGAGGCAAAAGUCAGAAAAUAAAGGACUAAAUGAGUAAAUAAAGAAGGACUAAUAGGCAAUUGAGAAUAUGAAAUAUUCAAAACCCUCUGCCUGUAAAAGGCAGUAUGCAUUGCCGUGCUUCUCAAGUUUUUUAGAGCCCAAAUAUUCCCCCCAAAAUACUUCUCAAGCUGGACAGAUCUGAAAUUCAAAUUUCAGAUCCAAAAUUCCUUUAGACCUUAUCUUUCUAAUAAAAUCCCUUAAUUGUGCUUGAGUCGUGCUAUUUAUGUGCUUCUUUGAGGAGGAAACUUUGAGCCUAUAAUUACUCCAUUUAUGUGCUGAAAGUCCUAAGUGUUUUUAUUAUCGUCUUAGAAUUUUUGCCUUUAAAACCUUAGGGGUCCAUCUAGAACUACAUAUAGGUAGAUGUCAUAACUCCCUACGAGAUCAUUAAGAAGGGACGGGUAUCAGCACGUAAUAUAAAUCAUUGACCAAACAAUCGCUUUGCAUGGCCACUAAGGGGAUGGAAAAGGUAGAUAUGGGAUGUCAAAAUAGGGGCUGUAGUCAAGGAUGUAUUGAGCUUCUAAAAGCUCCCCUCACACUCCUCUGUCCAUAGAAAUGGAGCACCCUUCUGGGUCAAUCUAGUCAUAGGGACUGCAAUUAAUGAAAACCCCUCCACAAAAUGAUGGUAGUAAUCCGCCAAGCCAAGGAAAUUGCGAAUCUCUGUAGCUGAGGAGGGCCUGGGCCAACUCUGCAGGACCUCCACCUUCUUCGGAUCCAUCCGAAUGCCCUCACUCGAUACCAUGUGGCCUAGGAAUUCCAUAGAACUAAACCAAAACUCACAUUUUGAGAACUUUCUCAAGCAUAGUCCUCAGGUAUUGCUUAUGAUCUUUUCGGCUUCGAGAGUACACAAGAAUGUCAUCUACGAAAACAAUGACGAACGAGUCAAGAUAGGGCCUGAAUACGCUGUGCAUCAAAUGCAUAAAAGUUGCUGGGGCAUUAGUCAGACCAAGUGACAUAACAAGGAACUCGUAAUGAACAUACCGGGUCCUAAAGGCAGUCUUCGAAUUAUCCGGCUCCCUAAUCUUCAAUUGGUGAUAACCUGAGCGCAAAUCAAUCUUAGAAAACACUUGUGCGCCCUGAAGUUGAUCAAAUAGAUCAUCAAUACGAGGCAAAGGAUAAUUGUUCUUCACUGUAAAUUUGUUCAGUGACGAUAAUCGAUACAUGCUCAUAGAACCAUCCUUUUUCUUCAAAAACAAUACAGGAGCACCCCUGGGUCGAAUAAAACCCUUAUCAAGCAAUUCCUGUAACUGAUCCUUCAACUCAGGAGGAGCCAUACGGUACAGAGGAAUGGAAAUGGGCUGAGUGCCCGACAACAAGUCAAUGCAAAAAUCAAUGUCUCUAUCAGGUGGCAUACCCAGAUGAUCAGUUGGAAACACAUCGGGAUAAUCCUGUACCCUAGAUAGAAUCAACAGAAGGGGUAUCAACACUGACAUCUCUCACAUAAUCUAAAUACGCGGGGCACCCCUUCUCAACUAUACGCUGAGCUUUAAGGAAAGUGAUAACUCUGUUGGGAGUGUUAUCUAAAGUACUACUCAACCCAAUACGCGGAAUACCUGGCAUAGCCAGUGUCACGGUCUUGGCGUGACAAUCAAGAAUAGCAUGAUGGGGCGACAAACAGUCCAUGCCUAAAAUAAUAUCAAAGUCAACCAUACCGAGUAACAAUAAAUCCGCUCUGGUCUCAAAACCAUGAAUAGUAACCAAACAUGACCGAUAAACGCGAUCCACAACAAGAGAAUGUCUCAUGAGAGUAGAAACAUAAACGGGAGAAGUCAAGGAAUCUCAGGCUAUACCCAAACGUGGAGCAAAAUAAGAAGAUAAAUAAGAAUAGGUGGAGCCUGGAUCGAAUAGAAUCGAUUAAUCUCUUUGACAAACUAGUAUAAUACUUGUAAUGACAAAAUCAAAGGCAACACACUAGGUACGAGCAGGAAUGGCAUAAUAUCUAGCCCAACCCCUCUCUUGAGGGCGAUCUCUAUCUUCCCGACCUCUGCCCUUGGCUGGCUGGGCAGAUGGGGUGGCAGCUGGAGCUUUGAUCAUGGCCUGAGAACUCUGACAAGAACCCCUACCAAGUUUGGGAAGUCCCUAACCAUAUGACGUGUAUCGCCACACUCAAAACAAGCUCUGGGUGGAUGUGACUAGCUAGGGCCAUGUCUGUUGGACUGACCUUUGGAAGCACCCUGCGCAGGAGGGAUGCUAGAAACUGGAGGUGCAUUGUAAGGCUCCGAAGGUAUAGGCAGAGCUGGGGCACAGCUGGCUGCUGGAAGAGCUAAAUGAACAGGGAGACCCACAAAACCUCUACCAUGUCGACUUGCUGCCAGGGUACAGCCACCAGAGUAGUGGCCUGACUCUCGAGACCGCUUGGCCUCUCUCUCUGCUUGCUCCCUGGCGAGCAUACCCUCGAUCCUCCUAGCAAUGUUCACUACCUGCUGAUAAGGAAUGUCCAUAUCCAACUCUCGAGCCAUGCUAGAUCUGAUGGGUGAGGUAAGACCCCUCAAUAAACCUGCGAGCUCUCUCACAGAUUGUAGCAACACAAUCAGGAGCAUGUCUUGCGAACCUGGUAUAACAGAUAGCAUACUCCGAAACGGUCAUAGCACCCUGGCGCAAAUGCUCAAACUCUGCCUGCCAUGCGUCCCUGAGACUCUGGGGGACAAACUCUAUCAUAAACAUCUCCGAGAACUGGGUCCAAGUCAGUGAAGCAGCCUCGACUGGACUGUCUAUCUCAUAAGUGCGCCACCAAUCAUAGGCGGCUCCCCGAAGCUGAAAAGCAGUAAAAGAAACCCUGCUGGACUCUACUAUGCCCAUAGUGUGAAGAAUACAGUGCAACUUCUAUAGAAACCCCAAGGCAUCAUAUGUCGCUAAUCUAUUGAAAACUAUAUUAUCAUACUUCUUGAACCUCUCCAACCUUCGUUGCUUGUCUUCAGAUGCAGUUGCCCCAUCUACGGGCUGAUCUGACACUGCGGGCGGUGCAGGAAUGAUCUCUAGGACCUGCUCCAUAUGCGCUCUUUGCUCAGGAGUGCGGGUUGCGGUAAUUUGGGAACCUCCCUGGGCCUGGGAUGUGGCUGCGUUGGAACAAUNNNNNNNNNNNNNNNNNNNNNNNNNNNNNNNNNNNNNNNNNNNNNNNNNNNNNNNNNNNNNNNNNNNNNNNNNNNNNNNNNNNNNNNNNNNNNNNNNNNNNNNNNNNNNNNNNNNNNNNNNNNNNNNNNNNNNNNNNNNNNNNNNNNNNNNNNNNNNNNNNNNNNNNNNNNNNNNNNNNNNNNNNNNNNNNNNNNNNNNNNNNNNNNNNNNNNNNNNNNNNNNNNNNNNNNNNNNNNNNNNNNNNNNNNNNNNNNNNNNNNNNNNNNNNNNNNNNNNNNNNNNNNNNNNNNNNNNNNNNNNNNNNNNNNNNNNNNNNNNNNNNNNNNNNNNNNNNNNNGGGGGGGGGGGGGGGGGAGGGGGAGGAACCCCGCCUAAGCCAAGGUGGUAUAUAUAGACAAGAACUGAGCUAAUGUCUUCUGAAGGGCUGGAGUAGUAGUAGCUGUAGGCGUGUCAGGUGCCUAAACUCCGGCUAGAUCUGCUGGUGGUACCUCAGCGGCAGCUCGCGCAGGUGCUCUAGCUUCACCACGUGCUUGUCCAUGUCCUCUACCCCGGCCCUUGCAUCUAGCAGUUGUAGUAGGGGGCGCGGGUGCCUGAUCAUCCCGAGUAGCACAUCUUCUCACCAUCUGUGAGAGAAUAGAUGACAGAAUUUUUAGACUUGAUGUCAAAAUAUAGCACGAUAAGGAAUUCAAUGAAGUGAAGAUUUUUCCUAAAAGGUUACAUAGCCUCUCGUAGAUAAGUACAGAGGUCACCGUACUGAGCAGCGAGACUCUUAUAAACCGGCCAGUGUUCCAUGACUCCUAUAAACCUAAAGCUCUGGUACCAACUUGUCACAGCCCUAGUUCACCAUUCGUGAACAUGUCAUGACAGCACCUAGUCACUAUGACUAGGCAAGCCCGACAGUGCGAAAAUAACAUCAUUUGCAAAAAAAUAAUAAAUAAAAGCUGGAUAAGUUUAAGGAAAACUAUAUAUAAAUGCCGCUCGACAUAUACAACUCAACAUCACAAGUCUGAAAGAACAGUCCAAAAACCCGAAAACUCACGGGCAACACAGGCUAUAGAAAAGUAUAAUAAAGGCUCUAAACUACAGAAGCUUGUACACCAAAGGAACACAGAAAGCUAAGUACUACAAGAUGGAUUAAGAGGGAUACUCUUCGGUCUGCGGACGCGGCAGAUAUAUCUCAAGUCUCUGUAGCUCUCCCUAAUCACUGAUAAUACGCCUGAGAUGAGGUACCUAGAUUUGCACAUGAAAAACAUGCGUAGAAGAGGUGUGCGUACACCACGGCGGUACUCAUUAAGAGCCAAGCCUAACCUCGGUCGGGUAGUGAAGAGGAAGGUCAAGGCCCCACUAAGGUUAACAUAAUAAUAAUAAUGUACAGUAUGAAAACAGGUAGAAUAAUGGAAACAACAGCGAAAUAAGAUAGAAUCUCCAAGUCAACAACAAAUAACCGAAAUAAGAAUAAACACAAAAAAGUACAGAUCAAUAACAAUGAAGCCCUGAGGAUCUCCCAGAAUACCGUCCUGUAGUCCUUUCUCAACUAUUCAUUGCAUCUCCCGGGAUACCAUCCUGCAAUCCAUCAUAUAUGUAUGUCCGAAGGAUCUACCGGGAUAUCGUCCUGUAGUCCAACUAUCAAUGCGCAGGGGGAUCUAUCGGAAAUCUAACUUGUAGUCCUAAAGUAAAUAUGCAGGGAGAUCUAUCGGGAAUUGAACCCGCAGUCCCCAAGGAAACAAACAAGGGGGAGCUACCGGAAUCCCACGUCCAUAGUCCCAAUAUAAAUACAUAACAACAGCCAGAGAAUAAUAAGAAACACAAUUAAACACCAAGGCAACAUGGAAUCUAGCCUAACAUGCUUAACGUAAUGUAUCAAGGCAAAUUAAGCAACUAAACCAAUUAAGUCAGCUAAACAUGCUUUUCUAGGCUAUCACAGGCUACAUGGCAAGUAAACAAAGAAAGUAAGAAAGGAAUAAGAACUUGAUCAUUUUAAGUAAAGACCGGGUGUUCAAUAUUUAGCACAGGUACACGCUCAUCACCUCACCUACAAGGCACUCAAUCAUCAAAUAACAAGUCCUAAAGGGAGAAGGUUCCCCGCACAAAGUUAGACAAGACACAUACCCCGAACCGGCUAAAACUCAAAUAGGAAUCACGCCUUUGCCACGAGUAUCCGACUCCAAAUUUGCAAAAUCUAUUCAAUUCAAUUAUAUAUAGUAAAUAACAUUGAAAACAAGUGAUUCCACUAUUAAAUUUAAAGCUAGUACGUGAAAAUAGGAAAAAUAACCAAAAUGCCCCUGAGGCCAACAUCUCGGAAUUGAAUAAUUUUCACAUUUUCAGAACCCUCGUACUCUCAUGAGUCUAACCAUAUAAGAAUCUCUCAAAUCGGAGGUCAAAUGCCCACUCAAAACUCAAUAGUUUAGCCUAUUAAGUUUCCCCCAAUUUUACCAAUUUUUUAUCCGCAAUUCGAAGUUUAAUGAUGGAUUUAACUACAAAUGAUGAAAUAUAACUAGAAGGGAGCAAAGAAAUGUUACCCAAUAAUCUCCUCUUCAAAACCAUCUCAAAAUCGCCCUUCCUCGAGCUCAAUUUGAUUUUUCUAGCUUAUGAAAACUAAUCCUCGAAAUUUCAAUAUCUGAAUAGGCAUUUUUGCUUCGACGGACAAGGGACCACUUCUGCAGUCCCGCUUAUGCGGAAAAAGGCCUGCUUCUACGGAUUUCAUUAAAGGCUCAGGGGCUGCAUCUGCGCUGGGAAAAAACUACAGAUGCAGCCUCCUCGGUCUCCCAAGUGAAAAGAUGAGGGUAUCGGAUGCGCAUAUCCCCUCGGUCUCCCAAGUGGCCUCCUCGGCCGACUGACCCAAUCAUUGAACCUUUACUGAAGCAAUGCUUUUUGACCUCAACUUUCUGACCUGCCUGUCCAAUAUAGCCACUGGCUCCUCAAUAUAGGAUAGUUCCUUGCCCAACUGGACUAAGGUGAAAUUCAACACGUGUGACGGAUCACCGUGAUACAUCCAGAGCAUCGAAACAUGAAAUACUAGAUGAACCCCCGCCAAACUGGGAGGUAAGGCAAGCUCAUAAAUAUCCUUCCCAACUGGCCUCAAAAGGGCCAAUAAAUCUCGGACUCCACUUCCCUUUCUUCCUAAAUCUCAUGAUGUCGUUCAUAGGUGAGAUCCGAAGCAGAACUCGCUCACCAACCAUAUAAAAAACAUCACAAACCUUCCGAUCCGCGUAACUCUUCUAUCUGGACUGGGCUAUAUGGAGUCUAUCCUGAAUCACCUUAACCUUCUCUACCGCAUCCUGAACCAAAUCAGUUCCCAAUAGCCUGGCCUCACCCGGCUCAGACCAACCCAGUAGGGACAUGCAUAUCCUACCAUAUAAAGCCUCAUAUGGCACCAUAUGAAUGCUGGACUUAUAACCGUUGUUGUAGGCAAACUCUGCCAGUGUCAAGAACUGAUCCCGAGACCCUCCAAACUCAACCACACAUGCAUGGAGCAUAUCCUCACGAAUCUGAAUGGUGGACUCGGACUGUUCGCCCGACUGGGAGUGAAAUGUUGUGCUCAUCAUCACCCGAGUACCUAACUCCUGCUGAACGGCUCUCCAGAACCACGACAUAAACUGAGUACCUCUGUCCAAAACAAUAGAAAUCGGGAUGCCAUGCAGACGAACUUCUCCCUGAUAUAAAUAUCUGCCAACCUCUCCGAUGAAUAAGUAUUACACAUAAGAACGAAGUGCACGAACUUGGUCAGCCGAUCUACAACAACCCAAAUGGCAUUUAACUUCUUCACAGUUUGAGGGAGUACAACUACAAAAUCUAUGGUGAUUCUCUCCCAUUUACACUCCGGAAUCUCCAUCUGCUGGAGCAACCCACCCGGUAUCUGGUGCUCAACCUUCACCUGCUAACAGUUGAGGCAUCUAGCUACAAAACCCUCUAUGUCUUUCUUCAUCCACCUCCACCAAUAGUGUUUUCUCAAGUACUGAUACAUCUUCGCGGCACCCGGAUGGAUGGAAUACCGCGAACUAUGAGCCUAUGUCAAUAUCAACUCCCGAAUAUCAUCAACAUUAGGUACACAGAUCUUACCCUACAUCCUCAAUACCCCGUUUCUCCAAUGAUCACAUCCUUAGCAUCACCAUGAUGAAGUGUGUCCCUGAGGACAAGCAAAUGAGGGUCGUCAUACUGCCGCUCUCUGAUACGAUCGAACAAUGAAGACCGAGAAACCACACAGGCUAGAACCCGACUGGGCUUCGAAAGAUUGAUGAUCUCACAAAUUGACUAGCUAAGUCCUGAACAUCCAUCACCAUAGGCCCCUCUAAAGCCGGUAAUAUACCAAACUCCCUAAACUCUCCACCCGCUGACUUAAGGCAUGGGCUACCACAUUGGCCUUGUCCGGGUGAUAAAGAAUAGUAAUAUCAUAAUCCUUCAGCAACUCCAACCACCUUCUCUGGUGGAAGUUUAGAUCCUUUUGAUUAAACAAGUGCUGUAAAUUCUGAUGAUCCGUGUAAAUCUCACAAGGCACGUCGUACAAAUAAUGAUGCCAGAUCUUCAAGGCAUGAACAAUAGCAGCUAACUCAAGGUAGUGGACAUGGUAAUUCUUCUCAUAUAUCUUCAAUUGUCUGGAUGCAUAAGGAAAUCACCCUACUGUCCUGCAUCAACAUCGCAUUAAGGCUAACCCGUGAGGCAUCACAAUAAAUUGAUAAGAUCCUGAACCAGUAGGUAAUAUAGAAAUAGGGGUUUUAGUCAAAGUUGUCUUGAGUUUCUGAAAGCUCGCCUCACACUCCUCUGUCCACAUAAAUGGAGCACCCUUCUAGGUCAAUCUAGUCAUAGGGGCUGCACUCGAUGAAAAUCCCUCCACAAAACAAAGUUAAUAAUCCACUAAGCCAAAGAAACUGCGAAUCUCUGUAGCAGAAGAGGGCCUGAGCCAACUCUGCAUGGACUCCACCUUCUUUGGAUCCAUAAGUUGAUGGAUAGGGUAAUUCUUCUCAUCUAUAUUCAAUUGUUUGGAUGUGUAGGUAAUCACCCUACCGUUCUGCAUCAACACCGCUCCAAGUCCAACCUGUGAGGCAUCAUAAUAAAUAGUAUAGGACCCUGAACCAGUACGACAAUAUCAAAAUAGGGGAUGUAGCCAAGGCUAUCUUGAGCUUCUGAAAGCUCGUCUCACACUCCUCUAUCCACUAAAAUAGAGCACCCUUCUGGGUCAAUCUAGUCAUAUGGGUUGCAAUCGAUGAAAAUCCCUCCAAAAUAUGAUGGUAGUAACCCAUCAAGCCAAGGAAGUUGCGAAUCUCUAUAGCUGAGGAGGGCGACCUCCACCUUCUUCGGAUCCACCUGAAUACCCUCACUCGAUACCACGUGGCCUAGGAAUGCCAGAGAACUCACCCAAAACUCACAUUUUGAGAACUUUGCAUAUAUCUUCUUCUUCUCUCUCAGGGUUUGAAGCACUGUCCUCAGGUGUUGCUUAUGAUCUUCCCGGCUCUGGGAGUACACAAGAAUGUCAUCUAUGAAAACAAUGACGAACGAGUCGAGAUAGGGCCUAAAUACACUGCACAUCGAAUGCAUAAAAGUUGUUGUGGAAUUAGUCAGCCCAAAUAACAUAACAAGGAACUCGUAAUGACCAUACCGAGUGCUGAAGGCAAUCUUCGGAAUAUCCGACUCCCGAAUCUUCAACUGGUGAUAACAUGAGCGCAAAUCAAUCUUAGAAAAAACAUGUGUGCCCUGAAGUUGGUCAAAUAGAUCAUCAAUACGAGGCAAAGGAUAACGGUUCUUCACUGUAACUUUGUUUAACUGACAAUAAUCGAUAUACAUGCACAUAGAACCAUUAUUUUUCUUCACAAACAAGACGUGAGCACCCCACGAUGGAACACCUUGUCAAAUAAAACCCUUAUCAAGAAAUUCAUGUAACUGAUACUUCAACUCCUUCAACUUAGAAGGAGCCAUACGGUGCGGAGGAAUGGAAAUGGGCUCAGUGACCGGCAACAAGUCAAUGCCAAAAUCAAUGUCUCUAUCAAGUGGCAUACCCGGAAGAUCAGUUGGAAACACAUCGGGAUAAUCCUGUACCCUAGAUAGAAUCAACAGAAGGGGUAUCAACACUGACAUCUCUCACAUAAUCUAAAUAUGCGGGGCACCCCUUCUCAACUAUACGCUCAGCUUUAAGGAAAGUGAUAAAUCUGCUGGGAGUUUGAUCUAAAGUACCACUCCACUCAAUACACGGAAUACCUUGCAUAGCCAAUGUCACGAUCUUGGCAUGACAGUCAAGAAUAGCAUGAUGGGGUGACAACCGGUCCAUGCUCAAAAUAACAUCAAAGUCAACCAUACCGAGUAACAAUAAAUCCGCCCAGGUCUCCAAACCAUGAAUAGUAACUAAUCACGACUGAUAAAUACGGUCCACAAUAAGAGAAUCUCCCACGAGAGUAGAAACAUAAAUAUCAGAACUCAAUGAAUCUCGGGCUAUACCAAAAUGCGGAGCAAAAUAAGAAGACAUAUAAGAAUAGGUGGAGCCUAAAUUGAAUAAAAUUGAUGCAUCUAUGUGACAAACCAGAAUAAUACUUUUUAUGACAGAAUUAGAGGCAACAUCCUCGUUAUGAGCAGGAAUAGAAUAAUAUCUAGCUCUGACCCUCUCUCGAGGGAAACCUCUAUCUCUUUGACCUACGACCCUAGCUGGCUGGGCAAACGGGGUGGCAGUUGGAGCUGUGAUCAUGGCUUGAGAACUCUGAGAAGCACGUUGUGGCUGAUCGCUCUGUGAAGAUUCACCCUUACCAACUCUUGUGCAGUCCCUAACCAUAUGACGCGUAUCUCCACACUCGAAACAAGCUCUAGGCGGAUGUGGUUGUUGUGAUAGGCUAGGGCUAGGUCUGCUGGACUGACCCCUAGGAGCACCCCGUGCAGGAGGCGCACUAGAAACUAGAGGUGCAUAGUAAGGCUCCUGAGGUAUAUGUGGAGCAGGGGCACUACUGGCUGCUGGAAGAGCUGAAUGAAUGGGGCGACCUACAAAAGCCCUACCAUGUCGACCUGCUACUAGGGUACGGGCACCAGAGUAGUGACCUAAUUCUCGAGACCGCUUGGCCUCUCUCUCCACUCGCUCCCUAGCGAGCAUACUCUUGAUCCUCCUAGCAAUGCUCACUACCUGCUGAUAAGGAAUGUCCAUUUCCAACUCUCGAGCCAUGCUACAUCUGAUAGGUGGGAUAAGACCCUCAAUGAACCUGCAAACUCUCUCGCGGACUUCAGCAACCAAGGCCGGUGCAUGCCUAGCCAAUCUGGUAUAACGGAUAGCAUACUCCGAAAUAGUCAUAUCACCCUAGCGCAAAUGCUCAAGAUUUGUGCGCCAUGCGCCUCUGAGACUCUAGGGGACAAACUCUCUCAUAAAAAUAUCCGAUAAUUGGGUCCAAGUAGUGAAGCAGCCUCGACUGGACUAUCUAUCUUAUAAGUACUACACCAAUCAUAGGCGGCUCCCCUAAGCUGAAAAGCAGUAAAGGAAACCCUGCUUGACUCUACUAUGCCCAUAGUACGAAGCAUAAGGUGGCACUCCUCUAGAAAUCCCAAGGCAUCUUCACAUAUCCAACUCUCCAGCCAUGCUAGAUCUGAUGGGUGGGAUAAGACCCUCAAUGAACCUGCUAACUCUCUCGCGGACUGUAGCAACCAAAGCCAGUGCUUGUCUGGCAAACCUGGUAUAACGGAUAGCAUACUCCAAAAUGGUCAAAGCACCCUGGUGAAAAUGCUCAAACUCUGUGCGCCAUGCGUCCCUAAGACUCUGGAGGACAAAAACUCUCAUAAACAUCUACGAGAACUAGGUCCAAGUCAGUAAUCAGUCUCGAUUGGGUUGUCUAUCUCAUAAGUGCACCACCGAUCAUAGGCGACUCCCCAAGCUAAAAAGCAGUAAAAGAACCACCCGUAGACUCUACUACGCCCAUAGUGCAAAGAAUAGGGUGGCACUCCUAUUGAAGCCCCAAGGCAUAAUCUGUCGCCAAUCCACUGAAAAUUGGAGGAUCAUACUUCUUGAACCUCUUCAACCUCCGCUGCUCGUCCUCAGACGCAACUGCCCCAUCUGCGGGUUGAUCGGCACUCCAGGAGGUACAUGAAUGAUCUAUGGGACCCCCUCCAUAUGCGCUAUCUACUCUUGAUUGUGGGCUACAGGAGUUUGGGCCCCUACCCCAGCCUAGGAUGUGGCUGCAACGAGGGGAAACAACUCCGCUUGAGCUAAGGUGGUGUACAUAAACAUGAACUAAGCUAAUGUAUCCUGAAGGGUUAGAGUAGUAGUUGUUGUAGGCGCGUUAGGUGCCUGAACUCCGGCUGGUGAUGGUGCCUCAGCGGCAGCUCGAGCAGGUGCUCUAGUUGCACCACGUGCGCGUUCACAGCAUGUACUCGGCCCCUGCCUCUGGCGGCUGCAGUAGGGGGCGCAAAUGUCUGAUUAUCCCGAAUAGCAUGUGUCCUCAUCUUCUGUGACAGAAUAGAAUACAGAAGUUUUAGAAUUGAUAUCAAAAUAUAGCACGACAAAGAAUUCAUUGAAGUGAAGAUUUUUCCUAAAUAGUUACAUAACCUCUCGUAGAUAACUACAUACAUCUUCGUACCGAUUAGCGAGACUCUAAUAAACCGGCCAGUGUUCAAUGACUCGUUUGAACCUAGAGCUCUGAUACCAACUUGUCACGAUGCUAGCUCACCAUUCGUGAACAUGUCAUGACGGCACCUAGUCACUAUGACUAGGUAAGCCUGACAGUGCGGUAACAACAUCAUUUUGCGGAAAAUAAUAAACAAAAAGUAGAUAAGUUUAAGGAAAACUGUAUAUAAAUGCCGCUCAGCAUAUACAACUCAUCAUCACAAGUCUGAAACAACAGUCCCAAUACCCAGAAACUCACAGGCAACACAGGCUAUAGAAAUUUAUAAUAAAGGCUCUAUGCUCCAAAAGUGUCUAUCUCAAAGGAAGACAUGAAGCUAAGUGCUAAAAGAUGGAUUAAGAGGGAGACUCUUCAGUCUGCGGACGCGACAGAUAUACUUCAAGUCUCUGUAGCUCUCCUGAUCACUAAUAACGCACCUGAGAGGAUGUACCUGGAUCUGCAUAUGAAAAACAUGCGUAGAAGAGGCAUGAGUACACCAUAGCGGUACUCAGUAAGUGCCAAGCCUAACCUCGGUCGGGUAAUUAUGAGGAAGGUCAGGGCCCGACUGAGGUAAACAUAAUAAUAAUAAUAAUAAUAAUAAUAAUAAUGUACCGUAUGUAAAUAGGUAAUAAUUGAAACAAAUGCGAAAUAUGACAGAAUCUAAAAGUCAACAACAAAUAAUCCAAACAAGAAUAAAACGGAAAAGUACAGCUCAAUACCAAUGAAGCCCUGAAGAUCUCCAAGGAAACUGUCCUGUAGUCCUUUCUCAACUGUCCAGUGGAUCUCCCGGGAUACCAUCCCAUAGUCAAUCAUAUAUGUAUCUAAAGGAUCUCUCAGGAUACCGUCCCGUAGUCCAACUGUCAAUGUGCAUGGGGAUCUACCGGGAAUCUAACCCAUAGUACCAAAGUAAAUAUGCAGGGGGAUCUGUCGAGAAUCGAACCCGCAGUACCAAAGGAAACAAACAAAGAGGGGGGCAGCUACCAGAAUCCCACAUCCGUAGUCCCAAUAUAAAUACACAACAACAUCUAGAGAAUAAUCGGAAACAGAAUUAAACACCAAGGAAUCAGAGAAUCAAGCCUAACAUGAUUCACGUAAUGCAACAAGGCAAAUUAAGCAACUAAAUUAAUUAAGUCAGCUAAACAUGAUUUUCUAGGCUAUCACAAGCUACAUGGCAAGUAAACAAAGCAAGUAAGAAAGGAAUAGCAACUUGAUCAUAUUAAGUAAAAAUCGGGUGUUCAAUAUUUAGCACAAGUACGCGCUCGUCACCUCACGUACAAGGCACUCAAUCAUAAAAUAACAAGUCCUAAUGAGAGAAAGUCCCCCCCACAAAGUUAGACAAGACACUUACCUCGAACAGGCUCAAACUCAACUAGGAACCAUGCCUUUGCCAUGAGUAUCCGACUCCAAAUGGCCCAACUCUAUUCAAUUCAAUUACAUAUUAUAAAUAAUAUUGCAAAUAACUGAUUCCACUAUUAAAUUUAAAGCUAGGGUGCGAAAAUAGGUAAAAUGACUAAAAUUCCCCUCACACCAACAUCUCAAAAUCGAAUAAUUUUAAAAUUUUCAUAAUCCUCGUACUCUCACGAGUCUAACCAUAUAAGAAUCUCCCAAAUUGGAGGUCAAAUGCCCACUCAAAACAGAAUAGUUUAGCCUAUGAAGUUUCACCCAAUUAUUUCAAUUGUUGAUCCUCAAUUCGAAUUUUAAUGAUGGAUUUAACUAUAAAAUGAUGAAAUAUAACUAUAAGGUAUCAAAGAAACAUUACCCAAUAAUCUCAUCUUCAAAACCCUCUCAAAAUCGCCUUUCCCCGAGCUUAAUUUGAUUUUUCUAAUUUAUGAAAACUAACCCUCGUUUUAAUAUCUGACAGGAAUUUCCGCUUCUGCGGAUAAGG
rnacentral:lncRNA from 1 species